UAGGGAAUAUUGGGCAAUGGGGGAAACCCUGACCCAGCCAUGCCGCGUGGGGGAAGACGGUCCACAGGAUUGUAAACCCCUUUUAUAUAGGAAUAAGGAACUAUUCUUUAGUUUUUGCAGGUACUAUACGAAUAAGCACCGGCAAACUACGUGCCAGCAGCCGCGGUAAUACGUAGGGUGCAAGCGUUGUCCGGAUUUACUGGGUUUAAAGGAUCCGUAGGCGGGGAAAUUAGUCGGCGAUGAAAUCAGGUGGCUCAACCAUCUGGCUGUUGCCGAAACUGUUGCUCUUGAAUUAGAUUGAGGUAGCUGGAAUAGGCAGUGUAGCGGUGAAAUGCGUAGGGAUUGCCUAGAACACCGAUUGCGAAGGCAGGUUACUAAGUCUAUAUUGACGCUGAUGGAUGAAAGCGUGGGGAGCGAACA
rnacentral:rRNA from 1 species